rnacentral:hammerhead_ribozyme from 1 species
AUCCAGCUGACGAGUCCCAAAUAGGACGAAACAAGCGUUCUGAAU